GGAGGCAAGAAAGGCCUCGUUGUAUCAGGUGGUCUCAAGAGAGAUGUCUCCCUGAGGAACGUUCGAUCUAUGCAAACCAGACAGACAAAGCAAUGGAGAGGAAAGAGUCCUAGAGGUGCAAUGACUUGCCCAAGGUCAUGCCAGCAGGAAGUGCUACAAAGACAGAUGAGUAGACCACUAAAUUACCCAAUCCUGUGCUCUGCCUUAGCCCUAAACAUUCACAGCUGGGCAAUGUUUUCAUGUUGGAGUCAUGGGUGCUUUGGGAGCUUUGUCCAGAUGAAAAAGUGAAAACCUGGCAUCAAAUUAUAGGAAGGAGCAUAACGUAACCGAGAGUGUCUAAAAUAAAAAGCACCUUGGAAAAAUGAAACCUCAUAUAUCGAAGAAAAGUAGGAGAUGUUCAAUUGAAGGUGUUGAGGAUGAUGACCUCAGAAAGUCGACUCCUCCAACCAUUUAAGAGUAGAUCCAUCAAUAUAACUGCAGUCUUUCAGACUGUUUGCCCCCUCUGAUGGACCAUAUAGAGGACAGUCAGCAUAUGCUGGGCUGUCUGAUCUCCUUUGCCACAGGACCACGAUGAAUCUGUAAGAAGAAUGAGGCCUUGACUGGAAAUAUGCUGAAAAGCUGCUGUAAUAAAUUUGACAUAAUAUUCAUGACAUGGAUGGAUAGCUCAUUGUUCACAAGGGCUGGUAAAUAAAACCGGUGGCGUGGACCUAGAAUUACAAGGGGGAAGAAACAUUGUUCUACAAGGCAUGCUUCAAAUAGGAAACCAACUUUGAAACAGCCGUAUAUUUUAUUUGUGCUUAAACUGAAUACUAACAAAGGCUUGCUGAAAAAAGUUAUUGUUCUUUGGAAAACACAUUUGGUCGCUGUUUCACGUGAACUUCUAAGAAAGUUUCUAACUUAGAAACAAAAGCACAAGCCUACUCUCUUUACUGAUGUGCAGUGUCCUAAAUAUUCGUUUGAAGAGUGUUUAAGCAAGAAGUAUAGAAAACCCAGUGCUUGUAACAACGGGACGUAUGAAGUAGAGCGUUGUAGCAGAUGGGCAGGAUGGUUUUGUUGCUGUUGGGGCUGUUUUCGUGGUUCUGCCAGCAGAUGCCUUCCUGACGUGGGUCAUGCCCUACAUUUUCAUUAGUGACUACUUUAGGUGCCUUGCCACUUGGGUGCCCAACUUGAGACAUCUUAAAGUAACCUGAUGUUCAAAGGGCAGGUGCUGACACUUGUCUGAAAAUGGGGUGGCCCUAAAGAUGUCUGUCUUCUGCUAAACCAUAGGCCCUCUGAGAAAGGGAUUCUGUCUUUCUCUGUGUGUGCAUAAUGUGUGGCACGAAGGGGCCCAGGUCAUGGUUGGAUGCUACUUCAUUAAAAAAAUGCAGGAAAGGCUGAAAGAGAGAGUUUGUCGAUGGGAAUUGCACCCAUCUGAAAGAGGUGAGAAGUCGAGUUGUUGAAUUUUGGACCAUUACUGUAUAACAUUGGAGUGCUUUCUUGUGAGAGAGCGCACUGGGGGUCUCCACCACAUGUUGUGGCGCACACAACGUGCGCUCUGUGCGCUCCUAGACUCUAGCUCGUCGUCUGAAAUGC